GACAGGAAUCCCCUCUCAACACUUCACGGCUAACCGUUUUUCGCAUAAAUGAGCGUUAGCUGGCGGUCACCGUCUUUGCCCGUAAAGAACAAAACAGAACGGGACCAAGCGGCUCUGCUGGGCAACCAUCAGCUAACCCGGCUGAGUGGGUAUAAGCUCUUCGCAUAGCGUUGGCUGGCAGCCUCCCAGUUUCCACGUAAAAAACAAAACUGAACGGGAGGAAGCGGCUCUGCAGCACGACCACUGGAUAACUUGGUUGGCUAAAUGUAAUGAAUGGAAAGGAAAAGGCGAACAGAAAGGGAAUCGGCAGGCAGGAUCGAAGUCGUGGUGACGGUGCGUGAAAUCUCAGGUGCCGGGAGGUCAGUCCGACGAGCAGCACACGAGGCACGGAUCAGGCUGGAAGGAGAGGUCCGAGGGGGAAGGGGUUCGGGACGGAUCAGGGCUAGACAGAAGCUAGACCGCUCAGUAAGGCUCACAUAAACACUCAACAAUGCCUCAUACAGAAUGCAGAGCAGGACAGGGCUAAAUUCAAAUUGGGAGUAGGGCAGAUGUUUUCACUCAGGUGCGACUGCUGCUUUUGCAUUCUCACGAGGGGGGUAUGGCACCAUGGUUAAAAUAUACAUCAUUAACGCUAUAUUACAUUCAUGAAUAUGUAAUCUAUCUAAAACAAAUUGUCAGAGAUUUUUGUCACUGGUCUUAUCAAGACCGAUGACUAUGUGGGGUCUACCGAGAGGCAUAUCGCUGCAGCCAGGAGCUGAAUAUCGAGUGGGAGGGACAAUGUCGAAUAGGGAGGGGCAAUGGGGGAGGGAUUAAUAACUGUUAUCAUCUGAUACCCCAACCCUAAUGCUCAUGAUAAGCCCCUCCUAACUGAUAUUGCCCCACCCACUCAUCUCUCAGCUGCAGCGAUAUCCACGUGGGUCUACUGCCAGAUAGGGGAGAAACAGAUUCUUUAAUCCGCGUUGAUUUUAGUGAAAAUUACAAUACAGCAGGUGCAGAUUGCAAUUUCGUAUAUCCCACCAGCAGGCUACACUUCACAAUGGGGUCUUGGACGUCUAUAAUCCCUUUCUGCUCCAUCUCUCCCAGCUGCCAGCACGUUCCUCCAUCUCUCUGAGCUCAUCUUUCACCUGUUCUUAGCAGACUGAAGGACGGAUGUCCAAGAAUCACUAACACACACUUUUUCAGCGAUGGACCAGUCACCCAGUAUAAACGAAAAGCAGACUUCUGCAUGCUGAGCCACAUAAGAUGGGUUUCAUGGUGGUGAGCUGGCAUUUCUAAGAGGCCAGCCAUGGUAAGACCGUGCCAGAUUAAAUCGGUGGCUCCUUCAAAAGGACUGAGGACAAUCUGAUGCAUCAUGGAACAGAUUUACCAGAUGCUGCAGCCCUGUUCCACUGCCUCAAACAGAAUACAACUUUUGUGGAGCUCUUAUGUUCCAAGAAGAUGUGGAGAAGAUGGCACAACCCAUUGUGGAGGGCCUCCCUCUUGUAACUACAAUCCCAGAUUAACUUUCAGACAUACGAACGAAGAGGACUGUAAGUCUAAAUUGUGUUCAUUGGGCUCCCGUUUCCUGUCCACAACAUAAUUUUUUUUUUGUGCGCCAAUUCCGCCCAGUACGACUUAUGGCCGCUAUUCCCACCACACAGCAGCGUAGCGUGCGUACUCCCAGCAUCCUAGUUCUUAGUACUUGUGUAUUCCCUUAAAAAUCAUGAUGAAUAACGACUUUUAACCAACAUUUAAAGUUGUGAAUGGCCAUUCAGAACGUAUCUCGAUCGUAAAUAGAGGAGCGUAUAUACUGUAGAUGUUGCAAGACCUAAAUUCUCUGCAAUCUUUCAUUGAGGAGUGUUCCUUUUGAACUAACAAUCCUGUCACGAAUAUUGUCACAAAAGGGUGUGGCAUGGCAGAUAAUUGCUUGGAAAGACUGAGCCUUUGAUGGAUGCUACCUUCAUUCCCAAUCAUGAUACCUCCCCUGCUGCCAAUUAGCCUACAUAAUGUGGAGUCUUCCAAACCGGUCUUACUUGAAUAUUCUGUGCAGUUUUCAGUCUUAUUUUAACUCUCCCAACUUUUGUUCAGUGUGUUGCAGCCAUAAAAUUCUAACUUUGCAUAUAUUUACAAAAUGAUUAAAUGAAUUAAGUUGGUCAGUACAACUGUUCUUAGCAGACUGAAGGACGGAUGUCCAAGAACCACUAACACACACUUUUUCAGCGAUGGACCAGUCGCCCAGUAUAAACAAAAAAGCAGACUUCUGCAUGCUGAGCCACAUAAGAUGGGUUUCACGGUGGUGAGCUGGCAUUUCUAUGAGGCCAGCCAUGGUAAGACCGUGCCAGAUUAAAUCGGUGGCUCCUUCAAAAGGACUGAGGACAAUCUGAUGCAUCAUGGAACAGAUUUACCAGAUGCUGCAGCCCUGUUCCACCGCCUCAAACAGCAUACAACUUUUGUGGAGCUCUUCUUUGUGUUCCCAGAAGAUGUGGAGAAGAUGGCACAACCCAUUGUGGAGGGCCUCCCUCUUGUAACUACAAUCCCAUUUCCAGAAAAGUUUUGGAACUGAGGAUGCUAAUUGUAGUAAUUUCGCAUUUGGAAAUUUUGUCCAUUUUUGCAUGAUGUAAGAUUUCAGCUGCUCAACAGUCUGCGGUUGCCAUUGUCCAAUUCUCCUCUUCAUGAUGUGCCAUACAUUUUCAAUAGCAGACAGAUCUGUACUGGCAGCAGGCCAGUCAAGCACACGCACACAACACUCUGUCUACGAAGUCACGCUGUUGCAGCCCUUGCAGAAUGUGGUCUGGCACUGUCCUGCUGAAAUGAGCAUGGACGUCUCUGGAAGAGAUGUUGGCUUGAUGGCAGCACAUGUCUCUCUAAAAUCCUAAUAUAUGCCUCAAAGUCAAUAGUACCUUCACCUACAUGCAACUCCCCUAUGCCAUGGGCAAUGAUGCACUCCCAUACCAUUACAGAUGCUGGCUUUUCCACCUUUUGCUGAAAGCAAUCUGUAUGUUCAGUUUCAUUUUUGGCAUAGAGAACGUGACACUCAUUUUUUUCCGAAAAAGAAAAACUGAAAUGUGGACUCAUAUGACCACAGCAGAUGGUUCCACAGUCUCUUGGUCCAUCUGAGAUGAGCUCGGGCCAGAGAACUCGCCAGCACUUCUGCAUGGAGCUGACAUACAUGUAUGGCUUCCUCCUUGUCUAAUACAGUUUCACGUUGCAUCUCUGCCAAUGGUUUUCCGAAGUACUCUUAAUUUACCGAGGAGGGGAAAAAAACACGCUUACCUUCACGGCAGAUCUGACAACUAAGCCCAGGUGGCAGGUCACUGUGGCAUGACAGUUUCUUAGGCAGUGCUGCCUGAGGGUUUGAAGAUCACACGCAUUUAACAGUGGUUUCUGAACGUGCCCUUUACACACUGAGAUGUCUCUGCAUUCUCUGAAUCUUUCGACAUUAAUAUGUACAGACGCUCCUCUACUUACAAAUUUUUAACUUCCGAACUUUCAGACAUACGAACAAAGAGGACUGUAAGUCCAAAAUGUGUUCACUGGGCUCCCGUUUCCCGUCCGCAACAUAAGUUUUUUUCUGUGCGCCAAUUCCGCCCAGUACGACUUCUGGCCGCGACUCCCGCCGCGCAGCAGCGUAGCGUGCGUACUCCCAGCGUAGCGUGCGUACUCCCAGCAUCCUAAUUCUUAGUACUUGCGUAUUCCGUUAAAAAUUAUGAUGAAUAACGACUUACGAACAUUUAAAGUUGCGAAUGGCCAUUCAGAACGUAUCUUGUUCGUAAAUAGAGGAGCGUCUGUACUGUAGAUGUUGCAAGACCUAAAUUCUCUGCAAUCUUUCAUUGAGGAGUGUUCCUUUUGAACUAACAAUUCUGUCACAAAUAUUGUCACAAAAGGGUGAGGCAUGGCAGAUAAUUGCUUGGAAAGACUGAGCCUUUAAUGGAUGCUACCUUCAUACCCAAUCAUGAUACCUCCCCUGCUGCCAAUUAGCCUACAUAAUGUGGAGUCUUCCAAACCGGUCUUACUUGAAUAUUCUGUGCAGUUUUCAGUCUUAUUUUAACUCUGUCCCAACGUUUGUUCAGUGUGUUGCAGCCAUCAAAUUCCAACUUUGCACAUAUUUACAAAAUGAUUAAAUAAAUGAAGUUGGUCAGUAUAAGUGUUUAGAAUCUUUUUUAUGUACUUUUGUCAGUCAAAUAAAGGUUUGAGUGGAGUAACA